UAUUAUCAGUCCAGCCAUGGGCGCUGGCAGGGGGGUGCCAGAGGGUGCACUUGCACCCCUUGGGAAUCUCGGGAUCAACAGGAAUUAUUGAAAUAAAAAGAUUUUGUAACCCUAUCACCAUGCCGUACAAGGAUAGUUCGUAAUGUUUCGGCACUAAAUGUAUUAUGUUGACGUAAAUAGACAACCACUGUUGUUUGUAAAAAG